UGCAGAAGCAAACAUGAACUGUAUAAUUAUACAAUUAUAUUGUAUCACGAACAAAUUAACUGCUAACAUUCAACGGUUAACUAUAAUAAAUUAUUGAAUGUCACCUCAAGCAUUAUUGCUAAUAAACUCUGUAGUUUAAGCAUUUAUGGUAUAGUCGUUAAGUGUAUCCAACUUGCACAUUUCAUUAAUAAUACUCUUUAGCCAUAUAACAAACUUGUGCAAUAUUCCAUUCUAAACUACAUGUAGUACCAAAUUCACAUUGAACCAUCUGUACUUGUACUUUUUAAAUUAGAAUACAUAUAAGAACGUUCUUUACGCACAUCAAUUUAUAAAAUAGACGGAGAGAUCAAAAGUAGAUAAAUCUAAUGAUGUAAAAAAUAAAAAUAAUAACAAUAUAAUACCAGUAGCGAGUGUCCUGUUUAUUGUUGCCGCUACUACUAUAUUAUGUCUAGUUGUAACAGGCGUGAGAAAAUAAAAUAGAAUAUAGAUACAAAUAAUUGCCGGUUAAACAUGUCAACUUCAAUCUUAAAUGAUUUACAAUGAAAUCUUAGUAUGCAAGUGCUGAAGUAUGUGUAACAGAAAUAUCGUCCGAGCGCAAAAACUGUUAAGUCAGUCACAUGGAAAACAAUAUCACAACACCGACCUGACGUAUAAAAGAGCUUUGCAAUAAUCAUACCAUUAAGAACGCAGGCUAUAAAAAUAUGUUUUUACCGUUACAUCGCUAUGUUAUAAUUAUGUAAUGAUAAGAUUAUAUUGUUUAUUCUCGGUGUAAUGUUCAAUUGAUGAUCACAAUUUUGUUUAAUCAGUCCUAAGAAGAUUAAUUAUUAACGUGCCUCCCGUGGUAAACACAUUUCCAUCUUCCUCUAGACUCCUUUCGACUCGAAGUAUCCGGUUUGACUUCGGUCGGUUGGACCACAUUAACCGUCGUUAAACUUUGACAUAUGCAAAGCAGUUAAACAAUGAUGAACGAGUCUAGAUUGGUUUCAUGACGUUACAGAAAGGUUAAAUAUGAGAAAACGCAAUUGUGAUUAAAGAAUAGGUUUCGA